GCCACAACUCUGCGUGCCUUGUAUAAUGUUAUACCUGCAUGACAACAAAUGAGUUGAUUGCUUUGUACUCUCUUUGUUUGUGCCUCUAUAGUAGCUCUGUAACUUAUAGUAAUGGAAUAUAUCUGAAUCUACAGUCCGUCUAAUCACCCCUUUUAUUCAAACAGCAACAAGAGGAGGCAUCAGAUUCUGAAAGAAAUUAUUGAGGACAAGGCAGCCUUGAMRGCUGCCAUUGUUCAACUUCACAAGCAGCAGGCAGAGUUUAGGCUCCCCACAGUGGAUGAGCUGAUCAAUACUGACAACUUUGUGUGGCCAUAGGAGAGACUUGCCACCAGCAACAUCCAUUUUGCCAUCAAAAAGGCAAUCUUGGACAGACAGGUGUUGGUGAACAGACUGCAGGAGGAAGAGAGGAUCCUGGUGCAGGAGAUGAAGAGCCACUUGGGGAGCCUACAAAGAGCCACAGGAACUCUGGAGGCACUGUCCCAGCAGCUGCAAGUUCAGAGGAAGUUGAGGCAAUGCAGUGGAGUUGUCAGAGGGAGGGAGGAAUGGCCUUCUCUGUCACCUGAAGAGAAGAUUGAGUGAACUGACACAAGACCAAGUCAACACCAGGAAUACCUACCACAAUCUGAUUCUGGGAGAAGGGGUUAUUUUUGAUGACUCUGAUGUAGAAGAGAACUCACAUGAAAAUACAAGUCCUAUUGCUGAGAGCUCAGAUGACGACUGCUAUGCUUUCUGAAAUCAUACACCACCCCUGCCUCUUUCUCUCGGUUUCUCUCUCUCCCGCAGGAGAGAGAAGGCCGCCUCCACCUCUCUCAGGAGCAGCCUGGUCCCCCGGCGUUGACCCCUGACCCCUCACCUUCUGAACCCAUCCAGGGAAAUGUACUGUUGCCCAACCCAUAUAUUUUAGAAGUGCAUUGUACCCUACACCAUAAUUUCAAAUGGUAGGACAUAGGGUCUCUUUCCAUGUGUCCUAUUGAAGCUUACUGGCUGAUGAAGUACAAUAGCGUAUGCCUAUUUACAGAAGCAUAUGAUUUGAUAGUUGUUUUACCAAACUUCAUUGAUGUAAAUGAAUAUAUUCAUGGUCUAAAGAAAUAUAGAAUUUUACAGUAUACAGUUCACAAACUAUAGCCUAGUAAGAUAGGCACAAUGCUGAUUGAUAUACAGUGCUUUUGGAAAGUAUUCAGACCCCUUGACUUUUUAAAAUAGUUUUUUCUGAUCAAUCUGUUCAUCAAUCUGAACACAAUGGCCCAUAAUGACAAAGCAGAAACAGCUUUUUAGAAUUAUUUAAAAAUAAAAACGGAAAUUUCACAUUUACAUAUAAAAGGUGUAUAAUGUUUA